UGGCCAGGAAACUGGUCGCCAUGGUAGCGGCUGCGGGCGGAAGUGCGGAGUGUUUCCGGGUGAGAGGUGAGCGGGCCGCACGUUUCUCGGUACGGAGAGAAGAUGGCGUCCCAAUUACAGGAGAAGUUGCAAGCCGAGGUGACCAAGUACCAGCAGAUCCAGAAAGAUAUCAGCACUAGUAUGGCUGCCCGGCAGAAGCUAGAGGCUCAGGUCACC